GACCAACUACCUGGAAACCACUCAGAAACCAUCCCAGGCCUAGAGGCUCCAGGCUCUACUCUCAGUCCACAAGGCUUGGAAGACAGCUGAAUCUAGUCAUUGAGCAAAAGUCGGGAAAGCUGGUAGCAUCAGAGGGGGCCAGCAAGAGUGGUCUGGAGGAACUCUCUUGUUGCCACUUUCUACAUGGUCCUACCUCGGGCCUGGAGGGCAACUGGGUUCCGUGAUGAUGUGGAUCUCUUCUAGCUAUGGGAUUCAAGUCCUGCCGAAACCCCUGAACCAGAUCCAUCAGCCAUUUUCUCCUUUGACAUUUUAACAACCCAAAUGGAAAACUCUUGGGGACCCAGUUACAAAGCAUGGAAAAUCUUAGAAGAAUCUCCAAGGCAAUGCAGAGACCCACGGGGCUGCCGCUCUCACCGCAGACCCAGAAUGCACAGGUGCAGAAGGCAAAGCUGUCUCCACCUUAGUUUCACAGGAUGGGCCCACCAGCAGCAAAGCCACAUGUGAGAGGUCAUCCCACGAAGACCUAGGUAUUACAACCCCCACCACCACCGCCACCAAGUGAGUCUGAAGAACAGAGCGUCCUACCAAAGAGAGUGAGUCUAGAGCCUUUAGAUCUAACGCACACUGACAUGCUAUGUUUUAGACUUGGUUGGGGCCGUCACUUUCUCCUUCCUUCCUAUGUCUUCCUUUUGGAAUGAGAUGGUCUAUCUCAUGCCUGUUCCAUUCUUGUACUUUGGAAGUAUGUAAUUUAUCUGGUUUCACAGGUUCACAGCUGGACAGGAAUUUUGUCUGAGGAUGAGUCCAAGCUCAAGUCUCACCCACAUUUCAUUUGAUGAUUUUUAGAUGAGAAGUUGUACCUGAAACUUCAGUUGAUCCUGGCAUGAGUUAAGAGUUUGUGGGCUAUUGAGAGGACAUGUAUGUAUAUCUGUGUGUAAGAAUAGCUUGAACUUGGAGAGGGAAUCAGGGGAAGAAUGUUAGGGACUGAGUUGUGUUCCCUGAAAAUGCAUAUAUUGAAGUCCUAACAGUCCGUGUGAUGGUGUUUGGAGAUAGGCAGUUAAUUAGGUUUCAAUGUCAUGAAAGUAGAAUCCUCAUGAUGAAAUUAGUGUCCUAUAAGGAAAGGAGGAAACCCCAGGCCUACCUCUCUCUACCAUGAGAGGACACGGCAUAAAACACCCUAUACAGGCUGAGAAGAGACAGCUCACCAGAACCCGACCAUGCUGGUGCCCUGAUCUCAGUCAGACUUCCAGCCUCCAGAACUAUGAGAAAAUCAAUGUGCAUUGUUUAAGCCACCACUUUCCUAGAGAUCCCCAUGUAUAACUAGUAUCAUGCAAACUUACUUGACCAUUUACAUCCCUCUCCAUGGAACAUUUCAGAAUAUGAUGUCACAGACAACAGUCUGGGGAGACACGGCGAUGAAUAAAUUGCAGUAAAUAAUGCCCCCA
rnacentral:lncRNA from 1 species